AAUGAACGCUGGCGGCGCGCCUAAUACAUGCAAGUCGAGCGAGAAGACGUAGCAAUACGUUUGUAAAGCGGCGAACGGGUGAGGAAUACAUGGGUAACCUACCCUCGAGUGGGGAAUAACUAGCCGAAAGGUUAGCUAAUACCGCGUACGCUUCUUGGACUUCGGUUCAGGGAGGAAAGCGAUACCGUGGGUAUCGCGCUCUUGGAUGGGCUCAUGUCCUAUCAGCUUGUUGGNGAGGUAACGGCUCACCAAGGCUUCGACGGGUAGCUGGUCUGAGAGGACGAUCAGCCACACUGGCACUGCGACACGGGCCAGACUCCUACGGGAGGCAGCAGUAAGGAAUAUUGGACAAUGGGCGAAAGCCUGAUCCAGCGACGCCGCGUGGGUGAAGAAGGCCUGCGGGUUGUAAGCCCUUUCAGUGGGGAAGAAAGCCUCGAGCUAACACCUCGGGGUCUUGACGUAACCCAUAGAAGAAGCACCGGCUAACUCUGUGCCAGCCGCCGCC
rnacentral:rRNA from 1 species